GCGAGAGUAACUCAGCGGUAGAGUAUCACGUUGCCAACGUGAAGGUCGCGGGUCCGAAUCCCGUCUCUCGCU
rnacentral:tRNA from 1 species